rnacentral:rRNA from 1 species
GUGCCAGCCGCCGCGGUAAUACGUAGGGGGCAAGCGUUGUCCGGAUUUAUUGGGCGUAAAGAGCGUGUAGGCGGCUUUACAGGUCCGUUGUGAAAACUCGAGGCUCAACCUCGAGACGCCGGUGGAAACCGUAAAGCUAGAGUCCGGAAGAGGAGAGUGGAAUUCCUGGUGUAGCGGUGAAAUGCGCAGAUAUCAGGAGGAACACCCGUGGCGAAAGCGGCUCUCUGGGACGGUACUGACGCUGAGACGCGAAAGCGUGGGGAGCAAACAGGAUUAGAUACCCCCGUAGUCC